GGAAUUGUUCGCAAUGGGCGCAAGCCUGACGACGCAACGCCGCGUGGAGGAUGAAGAUUUUCGGAUCGUAAACUCCUGUCGAGCGGGACGAACACCGCGCGGGCGAACAGCCCGGGCGGCUGACGGUACCGCUACAGGCAGCCCCGCCUAACUCCGUGCCACCCGCCGCGGUAAUACGGGGGGGGCGAGGGUUGUUCGGAGUUACUGGGCGUAAAGGGCUCGUAGGCGGCCCGCUAAGUCGGUUGUGAAAUCCCCCGGCUCAACCGGGGAACUGCGUCCGAUACUGGCAGGCUUGAAUCCGGGAGAGGGAUGUGGAAUUCCAGGUGUAGCGGUGAAAUGCGUAGAUAUCUGGAGGAACACCGGUGGCGAAAGCGGCAUCCUGGACCGGCAUUGACGCUGAGGAGCGAAAGCCAGGGGAGCAAAC
rnacentral:rRNA from 1 species